GGAGAUUCCAUAUGCAGAUAGGGAGGAGGAGCCUGUGGGACCGUGGUGAUUAGGCAGUGGGGAUUCCAUAUACAGAUAGGGAGGAGGAGCCUGUGGUGGUUAAGUGGAUCUCACUCAUUUUCCAGUUCCUCCAAAUGUCCAAACCGCUACUUUAAGUGCUUGUAACCUCAACAAUGCACUGCAGAGGACUCAGGCCAGAAAUUGAAUGAAAUCUUGCGAGAGUUCACGAGCAGCUGCCGCAUAGGGACGGGCUGGAGGGAAGAAAAUGGUAGUGGCAGCAGACUGGCCGGAGCCCGGUGGUGAAAAAAGAUGGCGGCAGCUGGUGGUGGCGACCAGGCACUGAAAACAGCAUGCGCUGGUGGAAGAAGGUGGCAGAGGCCGGGCAGGAAGAAAACAAUGGCAGGGGCCGGGGGAGGGGGAGAGCAGUGGCGAACUAGAGGCGCAGAUGCUCUGUGCCCGGCCCAGCUAGUGUGUGUGUGUUGCUAUAAGAACUGUUAAAUGCUGCCAGUGCUAGAAAGUCCUACUGGUGUGUGUGUCCACUGUUUGUGUUUUUGAUGCACAACAAGGAAGAGUAUUGAACGUAGGUCAUUUUUCAUCCUUGUCCCUGAAUCUUAUCACAGUGGUGUCCCUGUGAUUUCCCUUUCAGGCCCUGGCCUCCAAAAUGAAGAGCAGUGGCCCUGAGAAUGUGGAACAGGGAGAACACCAAGGUCUUGACAUGUGGAAUGUAAUAAGGAUCAGAGUGUAACAUCUAAGGGAAAUGCAUUUUUGCAAAACUUCAUGGAGAUUCCAGGAAUCUGACAUGUUUUCUAUUUAUCCCUGGUAGUGCAUCUGAAGAACAUGCACUGGGUAGGUUGACAUGUCAUGGUAAACCUAUGGUUUGGUUGAGCCACUGGAGACCUGAGCGCAUGUGCAAGCCCUACUUCUGAAGUCAAGACUGGGCAUGACACGCAAACCCACCCCGCAUAUUCUACCAUCCUUGCAGUAUGAAACCCAACACCAGUCCCUCAUUUCAAAUCUAAGGGACAGAUGUGUAAGGUUACACACCUCAAGUAGGGUAGAAUACUCUGAGAUUGGUGGGUUCGCAAUCACGCACAGUCUCAGCAUAUCUUUCCCGACACACGCUCAGUGGAACCACCAGUUCAAUGUGACUUCUGAACUGGUCCACUGUGUUUGUCUUCUCCCAAACUCCCCAUCAGUUCUUAGGGCUCCCUGGGAAGCAGGAAUGAUUCCCAAGCCAAUUUAAAGCCUGUAGUGUAGAUACCCCUCUAGUUUUUGCUUUUACUGACACUCCUCCUCAUUCCUUUGUAGCCUGAGUGAGAUUUGGUUGGUUUUGUUCUUUAUCCUUUGAUCAUGCUGGUAAUAUUGCCUGAUAGGAAGGGAAAGCCUGGAUUAUGGAAGAGCCAAGUACAGACCCACAAAACAGGAAAUAAACAUUUGCUAGAACCGUUUUUAGUUGACCUGGCCACUGUAUUUAGGUGGGGGAGGGAACAGGUAUUCGUUCCUGGGGUGAUCUUUAAAAUGGAGGGGAGACCAUAUGUUUACAUGUCCUCAGGGGUUGUUUAUCUUCCUGCUCCCCUGCUUAAAAGGAUGACCUGAGCCUUGACAAAGAGGUCAGGACUGAUGAAGCACAAACAUCUCAGAUCCUUUGGGUGACUGACAGGCAGGAUGCUGUGAAAAGAUCUCACAUUCUUGAGCUCAAACCUCUUGUAACAAAACAGGACCCAGAACUAAUUCCAACACAAAUAAAAUGGUUCUGUCCGUUAUCAUACUGUUCACUGUAUCUAUCUGUGUGGUUUUGCAAUGGGUAAGAUCUGCGGUCCUUCUAGCUCUGAUACCUGUGGGAAAGUCCUUUUUUUCUGAACUGCUUUGGUACAGCAGAGACUUCCUUGGCAUUUUCUCCUCAGUCAGGAGUUCUUUUAAACAAGGCCAUUUUUAAUCAGUCUUUGUUUCGGGUGGUAAUUCAAGACAAGGUCUGUAAUUAUCUGUGCAAAAUAGGUGGUGGUUGGUUAUAUGUGUAUUCUUAACUUUUGAGGGAUGAAAUGCCCUCCAGUACUAGGUGAAACACCCAAUUUGGCUUCUAUAGACUUUCAGCCUAGUGCAAAACCUUGCUUUUAUCUCCUGCUUUACAGAUAUAAAGACUACCUUGUUUCACUGUCUUUUCCUGGCCUGGAAAGAAAACAGGAGUUUCAAGUAAGUGCUGGGAAGACAGGACUGAGUGACUUCCAGAGUUUAUAUUUCCAAAAUAUGCACGUGCUGCUACUUUUUGCUUCCUUCGUCCAAACAACUUGCUGUGUGUAUUGAAACAGUCUCAUACCUUUCAGAAGCGGACUGGUCUGUGCCCCCACCCCCACCCCCACCAAUUCCACCUUUACAAACUGCAGGCUGUUGGGGCAACCCUUCUUCCACCCUGUUUUUUGCUUACCGUCUAGCUUGGUUAAGAGUUCUUAUGUGUGGCACAGUGGGGAAAUGCUUGACUAACAAGCAGAAAAUUGCCAGUUCAAAUCCCUGCUGGUACUAUACCAGGCAGCAGCAAUAUAGGAAGAUGCUGAAAGUUAUCAUCUCAUAUUGCGCGGGAGGAGGCAAUGGUAAACCCCUCCUGUAUUCUACCAAAGAAAACCACAGGGCUCUGUGGGUGCCAGGAGUCGAAAUCGACUUGACGGCACACUUUAGGACUAAAAAGCUCACUGUUUGAUACUUUAUGAGGCUCCUCACAUGAUAGGAUAAAAUAGGGCUAGUGGAGGCGAGUCCAAUUUUCUCCCAUCGUGAGAACCACCGGGAUCGGCUGUGAGUGCUCCACAAACCUGUUUUUUAAAAUCGUGUGUUGCUGUGGCUCGGCUCCGUGCCACAGCAACUCACAAGUAGACCACUGGCUGGGAGGCUUAAAAACAGCCUCCCGGCUCGGGGGUCUCUCCAGCAUGCCCUGCCUAACGGAGCUGGCAGUUGUGUGGGCGGCCACUUCGGCCGCCCAGAGCAGACUGCCUGCUGGUGUGCAGGGAGAGUGGGCUGGGCUAAGCCGCUCUCCCCGCUAACCCUCCCCAGGUGGCUCCCACUGAUCGUGGGAACCGCCUCUAUGAAUUUUUUGGUUGGUUCUAAUAAAAGCAUUAUUCUACUUUGGGUUGUGGAUUUUUCUUCCAUGGACCAACAUGGCUACUUUUGACUUCCAGUAGCUGAGCCUCAUUAAUUUCACUGAGAGGCUGUAUAACUAUGUUUUUAUCCAGCUUCUCAGUGAAAUUAAUGAAGCUCAGUUACUGAAAACACAUGCAUAAACAGGGCUUAAGAGGAAAAUUUGGAACUGCACAGUGAUAUGUGAUUGUAACCCACGCACAUAAUACGUGCUGCUAAAACACACCUGUGUAUUUUGGCUAUUAAAAGUGUGCACUCUGUUGAUGUUCAGAGACCCUUUUCUGAAUGCAAAUCUCAUAAGGUCUGGACACAAAUAGCUAAGGGAAAUAAGCUGCAGAAGCAUGACCUACUACAAUUUAGCUUCAGAUAUUCCCUCAUGGUGAUGAAAUUGUUUGUGGUAUCACAACUUUUGCAUGACUCCAAUUUUUGAACUACACAAACAUUCUUUUGAAAUUGUACACACACACACACACACACCUGCACAUUUUAUGUCUGAUCGUAUAUUUUUAAAAGCCCUGUUCAUUUAAACAGCUUUCUCAGUUUCAGUCACAGGAAUAUACUGAGUCAGACCAUUGUUCCCUCUUGCUCAGCAUUGUCUACACUGACUGGCAGCAGCUUUCCAAGGUUUCAGGCAGGAGUCUUUCCCAGCCAGGAUGCCAGGAAUUAAACCUGGGACCUUCUGCAUGCAAGCAGAAGCUCUGCCACUGAGCUAUAGCCUACCCCCUAAGGGGAGUAUCUUACAGCAGACAGUGUUCACAUGUAGUCACCCAUCCAAAUUAUGACCAAGGUGAACCCUGGUUAUCAAAGGCAACAAUUCAUGCUGCCUACCACAAGAUUAGAAGAAGCCCUUUCCCCCCAAUAUCUGUGGAUGUGACAACAUAAUUACAGAUUCUUAUAUAGGAUGCAGCAUGACACUGGUUUUGUUAAAAGAGAAUUGAACAAUAUGCUAGGAAGGAAAAAGCCAGAGAGCGGGCAGGGGACAUGCAACUCCUAUUGCUGUAUCUGUUGCUGAAUCACGAAUUGGAAAUUAAAACAAGGCUGCAUUUCUAAGCAUGCUUCCUUGAAAGUUAACACUAGCAAAACAAAUAGGAUUUAUCUUACAGAAUGUAGUUUAGGCUGGGAGCAUUAAUAUGAAACAUACCAUUAUUUCUUUUCCAGAAAUCUAACAUGUGGGGCCAAACUUGCCUGAAAUGCACUUUGCCCCUUCUGUGCCCUCUCAGUGGCUGACAUUCAACUCAAGUCAGCCCAGUCACAUUGCAUACACGCAAGUUGCACAAGUUACGCAAAUUCCAUUUGCACAAUUUGCCUAAAUUGUGCAUCUUUUAUACACGCAAUGUUACUGGGCUGAUGUAACCUUGAAUCAGAUGUCAGCCAAUCCCUGCCCCCCCCCCCAAGGUGCUACCAUUGGAAUUUUAAAAUGUGAUUUUAAAAAUUGACUUUUUAAAAAGUUAUAAAUUUUGUACUGUAUUUUGUAUUUUUGUGUGUGUGCUGUGAUCUGAUGUGUUUUAUGUGUUUUUAUUGGAUGCUUUAAUGCUGUGUUGUGAGCCAUCCAGAGAACAAUUUGUUAUGGGGAGGCUAACAAAUAACGUUUAUUAUUAUUAUUUACUAUCACUUAAUCAUUCAAAGCAGGCUCUAACGUGAGACAAUGUGAUGGCUGACUCAGGCCACAGAUUUCUGAGCACCGCCAAAAAGCAAUUAAUAGGGAAAUAUUUAAUGUAAACCAUCCGAGAGUCCUAUAGUGCGUAAAGAUGGCACACAAAUAAAUGUGGCACAUAAUUGACAUGAUUGGAAAGAUGGCACAUCAUUAAUUUACGAACAAAUUACUUUGUUGAAUCAGACUAAAUGCCCAUUGCUCUGUUCCCAGUAUCAACCAGUGAGGUUGCUGUGGGUGCUCAUA